AGGACGGGAAGGCGGAAGCUGCGCCAUCAUGCUCGUUUUCGCGUGCGUUCGCGUCGCGCGCUGUGCGAAGUAAUUUUAAACGUGUGAUUAGUUUUGCGCGCGGGGUAGAAAAAGAUGUGGCCCAUGCUUUGUGUAUUACUCAUGCCCCACUUCAAAGCAAAGCGUUCGUACGCACUGGAAGAUGGAUCCACGAAGGCUGAAACGAGAAGUUGCAACGUGCCCGGUCGGUAGUACUGGCAUGAUGGAAACUUUCAGCGAGUGUUCCCGCCUGAAAGCCGAGUUUGGUUUCAAGCCACCCUGGACAACUGCUGUAUGAGGUGCCGUUUCUCGGGAGGACCAGUGGGAAGGCGCCAAGUAUACGCUUCGUCCUUUUUCCUCCCAUGCCCUGAUGAAUCGAUAUCCUUGUUUUUUAUUGUGAAAGGAACGUUACAUCCAGAGCAUAAAUAAAUGAUUAAGAAAUCUGGUAGUGUGUUCCGCCAUUACAAUAAUUCCGAUGUUAAAGACGUGGAUUUCCCAUUAGCCCACAUUUCUUUUGAUGCAGACAACCGCUGAAAUUGUUAGCGGCAGGUUAUUCGAGACGUUCUACGUAUAUAGCAAUUGUCUUCAGGAGCUUUAAUGAAUUUUGAAAAUUUGAAGUGUUGUGCUUUAGAGGUAUCAUAUACAAGCUUUAGGUCUCCGGGUAAUUUGCAUGCCCUUCGAGAGCUGUCGCCUAUAGCCCUAUUGAAAUUCGUAACUACAGUUUGGAGCACUGGGGAAGCUAGAAGGCUUGUCCUGGCUCUCGAGAAAGUGUUUAAGCUGGAGGUGUAGGUUGAGGAGUUUGGGGUUGGUAACACAAAGGAUUUUUUAUGCCUUAGCAGUAGGAGUGACACAGGAUAAAAAAAAAAAUUUAUGUGUGUCAAGCACAGGAAGCUGCUCAUGUGGUAGAAGCAUGUGUGUGCAUGUGUGUGUGUGCGCCCAUGUAUGCGUGCGUGUGUGUGAAUUCUCUCCUCAAAAGGGAGUAUGUGUGUAAGUGAGCUAUUUCAUUGCUGGUCUGUUUGCCAAGAAUUGGCAAGAAAACACAAUAAUCAAUUUAACUUGAAAUAAUAAACUUCAAAGCAUACUGGCGACAGCAGCAUACAAGCAUGCAGCUGUGUGACAAUCUUAAUGCAUGACUGUAACAUCUGGAAGGAGGCUUGCUUCUUCUUCAGUAAGCAGCACAAAGUCCAUAUUCUUGGCUUUUCUCGUGCAAACCAAAACGAGGCUCAUUGCCAAUAAUCUUGUCUUUUGCUCUAAUAGCAUUUGUUUAUCUUGUACUUAGAGCAUCGUUUCUCGCAGGUCAUGCAGAUGGUAGCAGCAAUUUCACAAUGCCCAGCCUUGGCGCCCCCCAUCAAGAUCAAGCCACUUGCGUUCACCUUCAGACAGAUGGUUAAUGUCUUGAAAGCGGUUGAGAAGACAACAUUGAUGCAAGAUUCCAGCAACGCCAUGCGCUGCAUUUAUUGGUCAAGAUACUCAGAGAAUGGAGUCCCUGCACCUCGUGGUUAACCGUGAACAUUUCUUUUUCUUUUGGAAAGCUAAAGGCCAUUUGCUGCAUCACUUGCAUUUUUGCAGCUCAGAUGUGUACUAUAUUUUUCUAAUUUUGAAUCAAUAUUGGCUGUUCAGUAUAAAAAAUGACAUACAGCGUGAAGGACAAGGCAGGGUGUCUACCAACCGGGAAAACCGGGAAAACCGGGAAUUCUCAGGGAUUUCGCGUAGUCUGGAAAAAGUCAGGGAAAACUCAGGGAAUUUGGGCCUCUAUCAGGGAAAAUUAGCGGCAAUUUUAUUGAAAGGGUCGAAAGUCGCGGUAAUGCUGGCUCGAGUAGCAGACAGGAAUCGUAAUGAAUAGUCUUUGACGCCCUAUUGUUGGCAGGAGGAGUUGCCAGUGUACAGUCAACGAGCGACUUUCCGGAUUCCCGAUAAUUUGGACGGCUUCGCGGCGCCACCUCGUACCCCAUAGUGUCAACGUAUCAGAACGUGUGAAAUUUCCGACGCUAGAACUCUUUGCCGUCCGAUUUUCCGGACGUUUUGCCGCGACCGCAGGUCCGAAACGGCAUUAAUCAAAGGCACCACCGCUGCCGUCUUGAUUACUUCGCCGCCUCGAACCGGCACUCUCGCACGCAGAUCCGCUGUCACCCGUUGCCACCACUGCGGCAACGCUAGACCUAGCUGCUUCGACGUUCGCUAUGAAGCUUCUUGCCAGUGGGUGCCGAACUUUUUAUUGAAAGAAUUCGCUGCUGUGAGCAAUGGCACGGACUCCACCUUUGUGCUCCUCGCGAUUUGCUUAGAAACCUGGAAAACACGGUGCGUUGCAUAAUGCCGGUUCGUGAAAGUCAGCUUCGCCUCUGUACAGAAAUGUUACUCGGUAAAGCUUACGGAAAAGUAUUGCAGUGAAGCAUAACAAGCGUGGGAAGGGGCUAUUGCCACGGAAUACAGUAUGUAUAUCUUAAUUAUGCACGCGGGCACCCGGCAUUUCCUGUCACAGUACGAGCACAGGUAUGCCUAAUACGUGUACCGACAGGCCUUCAGAGCGUUUUCAGAGGUUUGAGCCCCUAAGGGCAGUAAAUGACACGCAUUUAUUUUUUUCCAACUGGCCGAUUUUUCGGACGUUUUUGCGGCCCCUAGGGAGCUCGAAAAAUCGGUCGUGGACUGUGCAACUGAUCAAGACGCUUCAAAUGGUCCUUGGGGCGAAUGAGUGGCGGAAGGCGGACAAGAACAGAAGUGACCUACGCAUUGAGGAAUAAACGAGAAAGGAAGCUUGUUGCCGCCGUUUUGAAAGAGCUUGAGCUCAAAAAAUAAAGUUUUGGCUGAUGCCGAGAUGCAGGUGUCCCUCAUCCAAACCAAAAUACACUCUUUGAAGCAGUGCAACACAACACUCGGGUGUCGUGCGCGGGCUGAGAGUAUGUCAGGACUGUUGAGGUUGACUUACGAGCUGUUGAGAGAGAAUCUCAAUUGUGACAGAGUUCAGGCCUCAUCCCACUGAGGUUGCGAUCAGUUGAUAGAAAUAGCUCAUAUUAGAAAAUAUUUGCCUUUGUAUGCAUGUCCUUUUCAAUCGUAUUUGAUAAUGUCCGACCCUAUUUGCAAAUUUUCCGAAGACACUUUAUUUGCUGUGCAUUUUACUAACCCCUGCCUUCUAUUCUCUUUUUGAAUAACAUCAACACUGCUCCUUAGUAUUCAAAUUGGAUUAAGUUGCUUUUUUUUCAUGUGCUUACUAGAGAGUGACAGCAUCAGGUCAUAUGGUUUCAGCCCGUGUUGAUAUAAAACAUAGUUCUGCAUCACUCAGGGAAAUUUGCAGUGGCACUCAGGGAAAACCUGGAAAACUCAGGGAAUUUGGAAAUGUCAACUUGGUAGACACCCUGCAAGGACUGCGAGAGACACACUCCACUGACUUUCAACAAUAUUUUAUUGCGUUGCCACAUCGUGUGUGUAUACACAGAGGGGUCAUGCGCAGAAAAUGAAAGCCAGUCACAAGGGGUGUUCUAACAGCAAGUCAUUGUAAAAAGAACAUGGUCACUUGAAAAAAAAAACAUCACAAUUUCUAUAUGUUUAGAUACAAAAUUUCACUAGGGGUCAGCGUGAUAGAGGGGGCACUAACGCACACACUACCCAGUUUUCUGGUGAAAUCAGCUUCAAUAAUUUACCGGGUGAGCUGUGUCCCGCUAAAACUUCCGUAUCUUAAAGAGGGGCAUGCAGCCGCAGUCCCGGCAAUGAAUGCCCAAGUGGCCUUGAACAGUGUUAUUGACGUUGUUAUAGUGCUCUCUUAAAUGAUCAUUUAGGCGCCUGCCUAUCUGUCCAAUAUAUUUACUGCCUCAAAAUGGGAAUUUGGGAAACCACAUUCGUUGCACACAUCGCAAAACACACACGUUUACAUCGUUUACACACUUACAGAGCCUUGCCAGCUUUUCCGGGGCUGAGAAAAGGACUGUGAUUUCUGCAGGUUCCCUAAUCUUCUUUAGCCUAUGGGAGACAUCAUGAACAUACGGUAGCACUGCAAACCUGUGUUUCAACCGGCUGGUUCCUUGACCGAGCGCGCUCAUCAUGUUUUGUGCACUUCAGAAGCUUUUCCGCUAUGGCUGAAAUUAAGGCCAAAGGGUAGCCAACCCAAGAAAGGCAAUCAGCCUGUGCAGCAACGCUAUGUUGCAUCUCGUGUGAGCAAGAUUUAUUGAGGCUGUUAAGGAGGCAAAGCUUUACAAUAUCUCAUUUGACUUUGUUGGACAGACAGGCAGGUGCCUAAACAAUCAUUUAGG